rnacentral:misc_RNA from 1 species
GAUGAAGAACGUAGCGAAAUGCGAUAAGUAGUGUGAAUUGCAGAAUUCAGUGAAUCAUCGAAUCUUUGAACGCACAUUGCGCCCUUUGGUAUUCCUUAGGGCAUGUCUGUUCGAGCGUCAUUUAAACCUUCAAGCUCAGCUUGGUGUUGGGUGACUGUCCGCCGCCUCCGGGCGGUCGGACUCGCCUCAAAUCGAUUGGCGGCCGGUACUUUGGCUUCGAGCGCAGCAGAAACGCGAACUCGAGGCCGUCGUCCUGGCUCCCAGAAGCUAUCUUCACAAUUUUGACCUCGGAUCAGGUAGGGAUACCCGCUGAACUUAAGCAUAUCAAUAAGCGGAGGA